ensembl:lncRNA
AGGUGAAUCACCAAAACAUGCUCAAGUCAUAUUUCACCUCUGAAUAAAAAGGAAAAAUACAUAAAACAUAACAUUUUACAUAAAUAAAACGUCUGCAUUUAUGAGCAAUGAGAUUUCUUUGGACUAUAAGCCAGUUAGCACAUGUUCCCCUAAAUGUUCUAUAUACUGAAUGCAAAAAAAUGUUGUGUGACAUGAAAAUCACAGCCAAUAAGAUAUUUGAUAUGAGCUGAAAUAUUAAGGUGGAUGGGGCUGCAGAAAUAAUACUCAUAACGAUCAGUUGCAACAAUAAUGACUACAAUAAUAUAGUUUUUUAUAUAUAUAUAUAUAUAUAUAUAUAUAUAUAUAUAUAUAUAUAUAUAUAUAUAUAUAUAUUAUCUGUUUAUGUUUACAUUUUACACAUUUAUACAUUAAAAUGUUAAUAAUAAUAUAUAUAUCAAUAAAAUCAGCCCAUGAAAUUCUUCCCCCAGUAUCAGUGUUGGUCUGAGUGCUAAAUAUCGUCCUUUGUGUUAAUAUGAGUUUCAUGUUUCUCUGAUUGCUUUUUCCCACAGGUUGGCUCUUACCUCCUUGGACAGGCUUUUUUUUUUUUUUUUAAAGAUCCAUGUUCUCUUUUAAAGCCACAGAGAGAAAGGAAACCUGUCGUGUGAGAAUGCAUACAGAGGAAAAUAAAAUGCUGAGUUUGAUCACCCCCCUUUAAACAGAGAAGCUGGUGGCACAACAAAGAGGAGAAGGAAAUUUAAACAAGGAAGAGAUGACAAGGAAAUACAAAGCGUGGUAAAAAUGAGAAUGGACGGGAAGGAAACUGGAACAAGGAAGAAAAAGAAAUGAGAUACAGAGAGACAAAGAGAUAGAGAGGGAGGGACAGAAACUGCUCCCAGAGCUGCGUUCAAAACAAAGGUCAGAGCUGAAAGACAGACAGUGUACAGUCUCAAGAGCUGGGCACAUGGUGUGCAAAGAGCGCCAGCCUUCCCAUCUGAGAAAUCUGAAAUUAAGCCAUUUCACAAACAGACAUUAGGGCAGAAUCCAAAUAUCAAAGACAUUUCUAACCUGAACAAAUUAACACGCCACAAAGAGUUAAUAUCAAUGAAUUUAUUACAAUUUACUCAGCUCCAAGGCACGUUACAAGUCUUCUGUUACUACAGAAAUAUGUAUAAACAAACAGAGCAUUUUGUUUUUAAUUUACAGUAUUUUUUGCUCUACUAAAGUAUCCGUGCAACUUUAAAGCAAAAAGAGAAAAUGAAAACACGUAAUAAAAUAUAUCUGUAUUCUCAUACCACGGGAUACAAAUUAAAAAUCGCUGUUUCAAAGAUCAUACUUGAAAAAAACAAAAAAAACAGACGGGAUCAAGAAACAAAGAAUGCCCUCUCUUAGACUCACUUCAUUUGUUAUACCUACCACAAAAAAAGUGUAUUUAUUAAUAACAUUUUUUUUUGCUUGGCAUUGUACAUGUAGAUGUGGAAAAUAAGUAUGAAGUUGAAUAGAAAUGUUAACGCAAC